GCAAAUAAUGACAUUUGCUCUCCUCUUCUCCGUUCCCGCCUGUCUCUGAGGAACAUGGUUUCUCUGCAUUUCCAGCAUGAUUCCUCUCCAUAUCUCAAGCAGUUAUACUUUUCUUUGUGGCUAUCCUCACCUGCUACUGGUUGUGGAAGCAAAUAUG